rnacentral:rRNA from 1 species
UACGUAGGGUGCAAGCGUUAAUCGGAAUUACUGGGCGUAAAGCGUGCGCAGGCGGUUCUGUAAGUCAGAUGUGAAAUCCCCGGGCUCAACCUGGGAACUGCGUUUGAAACUACAGGGCUAGAGUAUGGGAGAGGGGAGGUAGAAUUCCACGUGUAGCAGUGAAAUGCGUAGAGAUGUGGAGGAAUCCAAUGGCGAAGGCAGCCUCCUGGCCUAAUACUGACGCUCAUGCACGAAAGCGUGGGGAGCAAACAGG